rnacentral:tRNA from 1 species
GCCUCCGUAGUUCAGCGGCAGAAUACGUGCUUCGUAAGCAUGGGGUCGUGGGUUCAAAUCCCACCGGAGGCU